GCAGUCUCCUGAGUCUGAGAACUCUGGUGCACUGUGGAGAUCAAAGUUUUGAAUCUGUAAAGCCAAGGACCACAUGUACCUUUGACUGCUGUGAUGUCACCAAAGUAAUGCCCACCCGUCAGAAAAAUCUCAUGUAGGAGAGAAUGUUGCAGGGGAAGAUUGACCUUCUGUGAUUAAAUGGUUCCAUGGGAUAGUGAACUAAUAAAUAUUGAAGUUGUUUUGCAGCAGACUUCCCCUCAAAUCACAUAAGCACACGCCUGGAUCGAUCAUUGUGAGUGGAAUGGAACCAUCAUCCUGGUCUCAGACCAAUCAGGAUUCACCCUCCAGGACUGAGG
rnacentral:lncRNA from 1 species